CAAACGCCCCGAAUCGAAGCCCCGGUAAACGGCGGCCGUAACAAUAACGGUCCUAAGGUAGCGAAAUUCCUUGUCGGGUAAGUUCCGACCUGCACGAAUGGCAUAACGACUUCCCCACUGUCUCGGAGAGGCCCUCAGCGAAGUAGCACUAGGGGUGAAGAUACCCUUUACCCGCGGCAGGACGGAAAGACCCCGUGAACCUUUACUGUAACUUGGCACUGAUUUUCGGGUUAGCUUGCGUAGGAUAGGUGGGAGGCUAUGAAGCCGGGAUUCCGGUCUCGGCAGAGCCAACCUUGAAAUACCACCCUGGCUAACCUAAAAAUCUAACUCGCUUCCGUAAUCCGGAAGGAGGACAAUGCCUGGUGGGCAGUUUGACUGGGGGCGGUCGCCUCCCAAAAAGUAACGGAGGCGCGCGAAGGUUCCCUCAGCCUGAUUGGAAACCAGGC
rnacentral:rRNA from 1 species